rnacentral:tRNA from 1 species
AAAGUGAAAAUGACCGGUUUCGGCCCAGUUAAAGAUAUUAAUUUAUCCGCUUUU